AUAAAAGAAAUGGGAAGAAGCUGAAACCCAACCCCGAAGCCAGACCGUACACUACAGUCCUAGUUAGAGAUGUGAGUGUGCGCGAGUGAGUGAGACGGUGAGCGAGAGUGUGGAAAGGAAAGAAAGAGCAGAGACUCCGUUCCUGUGGGAACGCAUCUCCGUUACUCGGAUUCGCGACGCAGCCGGGCAAGGGGCAAAAGCGUCUCCGAUCUCUCAGAACAUUCUAGACUACUGUAAAUUUCCUGUGCAGUACCAUAGGUCUGAGUUGUUCUGGAUCCUUAGUACAAACAACCAUUUCCAUGGAGUUGUACGGUCGGAACCCGGUUAGGAAUGGGUCGCAAGCGGGCAGUCAAUCUGAAUGGCGCACAUCAGGUGGCGAACCUGGGCUUGAAGAAUCGAUGUGGCACUUAACUAUUGGCGGCACCGAAUCUUACCCGGAGCGACCCGGCGUACCCAAUUGUGUGUAUUACAUGCGAACCGGGUUCUGUGGAUACGGUAGCAGGUGCCGUUACAAUCAUCCUCGUGAUCGUGCUGCGGUUGCAGCAGCUGUGAGAGCUACCGGGGAGUACCCAGAACGAGUGGGGGAACCUUCAUGUCAGUAUUAUUUGAAAACGGGAACCUGCAAAUUUGGUGCAUCCUGUAAAUUUCACCAUCCAAAACAUGGAGGUGGAUCAUUAAGCCAAGCUUCUCUAAAUAUUUAUGGAUACCCUUUACGCCCGGGUGAGAAAGAAUGCUCCUACUAUUUGAAAACGGGGCAGUGCAAAUUUGGCAUAACUUGUAAAUUCCAUCAUCCCCAUCCAGCUGGCACAUCAAUGCCGGCUUCUGCAUCUCAGUUUUAUCAACAGGUGCAGUCUCCUACGGUCCCUCUGGCUGAACAGUAUGGGGGCGCAUCCAACAAUUUGAGAGUGGCCAGGCCCUCAAUAUUGCCUGGUUCAUAUGUGCAAGGGGCUUAUGGUCAUGUCCUCCUUUCUCCAGGGGUUGUUCCCUUUCCAGGAUGGAGUCCUUAUACGGCACCUCUGAGUCCUGUGUUAUCUCCUGGUGCUCAAUCUGGUGUUGGGGCUACUUCUCUGUAUGGAGUGACCCAGUUGUCUUCAUCAACAUCAGCUUUUGCUAGGCCAUAUACUCCUCUUCCAUCAACUACUGGCCUUUCAGGCAGUGGCCUGAAUGAACCGAUAUUUCCUGAAAGACCUGGUGAACCUGAAUGCCAAUACUAUCUGAGAACAGGGGACUGCAAAUAUGGAUCAGCAUGUCGAUUUCAUCAUCCCAGGGACCGGACUGUGACCCGGCCACAUCUCAGCCCCAUUGGUCUUCCUUUGCGUCCGGGGGUGCAACCUUGUGUUUUUUAUUUACAAAACGGGCAUUGCAAAUUUGGCUCCACUUGCAAAUUUGACCAUCCUUUGGCGUCUGUGAGAUACAGUCCCUCCGCAUCCUCUCUCACUGAUAUGCCGGUAACUCCAUACCCUGUUGGGUCCUUGCUUUCUACCCUGUCUCCUUCAACAGCAUCUUCAGAGCUUCAGCCUGAACUGAUGUCAGGCUCAGAAAUGGAAUCUUUUUCCACUAGAAUGCCAUCCUCUGGAAAUGGUUCAAGCAAUUCUGUCAGUUUAAUUUUCUCACAAGGGGGAACCGUCUCUCUUUCUGAUGUGCAACUCUCAAGUCAAAGCCCUACUCCUUUAAGCAGUAGCAGAAGUACUAGACAAAAUGGCGACAUACGAUGAUCAGUCUAAUGCUAAACUGAUUCCUCAUUAUCUAUUGGACGUGAUUUUCCAUUGCUCAAUUGCUUCUGUUGGUAAUCUUAGUGAAUUCCUAGUGGCAACUGUUCAUAGUUUCACAGUCACAGCCGACGAUUCAUCAAGUUCUGGUUACCCGAUAUUAGUCAUUCUCUUCAAUGCUAUUCUCAUCUGAUUAUAUAUCAUCCGAAAUAAUCUCUAACAGAAAACAACUUCCCUAGGUUUGUCUUCGGCCGUGGAUUCUGUUAUUUUAUUUUUGGUACUAGUGUGAUGUUUAUUAUACCAUGUGUAUAUUAUAGAUGGGGGCUCUUAUGCGAGACCAAAGCCAUGCACUACUCCAUACGCAGGUUAUUUGACACCACCAGGUCCCAGGGAGAAUGAGAGCACGACCCGCGCCUGUUAAGAAUCUAACUGCUGAAAAGGUAACAACGGAAAUGACUCUUGACUUACGCUCUAAGAAACCGAUACCUACGCCUCUUAAGUUAAAAUCAAACAGAAUGUUACGCAGAAUCUAAUUUUGGAGCAGUUGGUGUUCUACCUUUCUGUCGUUCCCAUUCUUGUUAAUACAACUCUGAGAAGAUUACAUAUGUAAGAUUUUCGGUUUUAAUGAGACAAUAACGUUAAAAAAAAAAAAGAAUGCUUGAACGGUAAGGUAGUGGUUAAAUGUGAGAAUUGGUAUAGGUCAGAAACCCUUCUAUGAGUUGGAAAUUGCGGGUUGGAUUCU